GACGAACCGAGCGAACGUUGUUCGGAAUAACUGGGCUUAAAGGGCGCGUAGGCGGGCGGCCAAGUUCGGGGUGAAAUCCUCCGGCUCAACCGGAGAACUGCCCCGAAUACUGGUCGCCUCGAGGGGGGUAGGGGCGUGCGGAACUGUGGGUGGAGCGGUGAAAUGCGUUGAUAUCCACAGGAACUCCGGUGGCGAAGGCGGC
rnacentral:rRNA from 1 species